ensembl:lncRNA
AUCUCUUUCUGGGGAUCCUUCCCUUUGGAGUUUUCUACUGUAAGCUUAGGACAUGGCCACUGCUUGUUACAUUACCCUGACAAAAUAAUUCCUCUCUUGUAAAAGCCAUCUCCAUGAAAGCCACACCUGUGUGAUGACUCAGUCACACAGGAGCACCAUACCUGGGAAAGCUCCCUCCAUGUGGAUCAUUGCUAAGAACCAAGACAAUUCAACACUAUCAAAGAGAAAAACUUCUCAGCUUCCUUAAAUGCAAUAUUUGUUACAGCUUUUCCAUUAGUGUGGGGAAAAAAUAUUGAUGCAUUGAGGCUGGUGAUAACAAGUAUCUUUUCUUUCAAAUUACUGGAUUUGCAAUCAAAGAACUUCCUCCAUCCUUGGGCUUUCGGUCAGGCUACCCUUAAACACACUCUUUUUGCUUGUUCUGGAAGCUGUCAUUAAGCAGCAGAAACCUUUUAUUACUGAAUUUAGCUGGUUUUGAAUGGGUGACCUAGAGAUUAAAAUUUCAGACUCUGUUACUAAUUAACGGAGUCAUUUGAAUCCCUGAUGGAUUUAUUAUUUAGUACUUGGACUUAGAUAUUUUCUUCUUUCAUUGUACAAAGGUGAAUUUCAUCUUUUAUGAUUUGAAAGCUAACUUUUAUAGCAGAGUACAUUUAUUAUGCUUAUCCAUCACUUCACAGUGAUGAGCACUUGUCUCCUUGGCCCUGAUUUGUGAACACUUUAAGUCAUGAUCUUCUUUUUAGCACAGUGUCAAGCAUGAUUCUGAAGACUUUGCUGAGGCAGGAGAAGCAUUUUUCCUUUGAGAAUUGCUAUAUGUUCUAUUUGCGUUGGGUAUGAAAAUGUAGACUAUGUAUUAGUAAAAUUUAUUUUUGCUUAUUUGCAAUUAUAACUGUUUUAUAUGAGCCACAAAACACAGUUUGAUGGAAGAAAAUGUUUUUCCAAUACACGGGGUAUUCAAACCAAGCACAGGAAACAGUUAUUUGUUAGAAUUUGUCUUUUUCACUGGAAAACAAUUAACAACUAAGAAGUUUUGUAUAGAAAAUCGGAAUUAAGAGCGAAUAACCCCACUUGUAGUAUAACCAAGAAGUUCAGUUAUCUAAAUAUCAGUGGCCUAAUUUGUUAGAGAGUAUUAUUUGGCCGUUGAAAGUUUAUUACUAGAGCUAUGCAAUUCCUUCUUUUCUAUAUCAACAGUAACUGAAAGAACCAGACAGCUAAGUCUCUGAGGACUGGAUUGUGAUCUCACGUAAACAUUUCAUUCACAAAGUUCAGCACAAUGGAAUUCUAUGCUACAAUAUAUUUGAUCUUAGCCAAAAGGCAAAAAGCAAACUCCUUAAAAGUAUAUUUUACUGUGUAAUAUUUAAGGUUUGUUUUUUCAAAAUACAUCUUACAAUACUUGCAAUAUUUGUGAUGCAAUGUAUGUAAAAAUACAAUUUUAUAAUAAAGAAACAAUUU